CAUAAAUUUUCACUGUUCUCAGCACCGCUGCAUUUUUACCCAAGACCUCUAACAGCAACAUGAAGUUAGGAAGCCUCCUCCUCCUUGUGACUCUCAUCAUCCUCAGCUUAGAGGUACAAGAGUUUCAGGCUGCAGUGAGACCAUUUCGUCUUUUGGGCACCUGUGUCGAGCUCUGCAAUGGUGACUGGGACUGUGAUCCAGGAGAGCACUGCAUCAGCAACGGGUGUGGCCAUGUCUGUGCUUCAGGCUAAGGACAGAUGAAGACUCAUCUUAAGGGUCAUCCUUCUCUAAUAAUUGCUCAUCCCUUCCUGGAGUUCCUAUCAUCAAAGAUGUGAUUAUUUCAAGCUCCUUGCUCAGCAAGACAGAUGAAAAUGGAGGCCUGUGGAUGGAGAUUACAAGGGAUGUGGCAGGGAAGGAAAAAGAGUUGUUUCUUUUAAUAAAUCACCAUCAAAAGUA